rnacentral:lncRNA from 10 species
UAAUAGAGAUGAGAAGUAUGACAGACAAGAAAGAAUGAAAAGAAAAUUGAAGCAACUGUCAAAAUGUCUAUGGAGGAAAAGAGGAUUUGGUGACCCAAAUUAUCAAGCUUGUCAUGAACAUUAAUUUAAUAAGUCUGUAAUCACACAAUGAUAUUCAAAUGGAAAAUUGAGGAAUUAUUUAAUCAAUUUUAUCAAUCUGGAUAAUCCAAGCUCAAAUCCUUUUUGAUCCUCAAUAGCCUGGGAAGAUUUUAGGCAUUUGUAUUUUUCAUAUAAUUGCCCUAAUUCUCUCUUUAACUUUUUCUUCAUAUUCAAAGCUAAACUCAUCCUGCAUUUAAAUUUGCUCUUUCUAUGUAUGGAACAAAGUGUUCUGACAUGGAAUAAGUAGUAAAGUUAAUACUCAUAAAGCAUUAAUGAAAAUAAAUUAUAGGAACACAAAGGGAUUUACACAUAUAUUUCUUUUGCAAUUAUGGUGAGAUAAAUAUUUUUUCUUUUUGAAAAAAUAUAUGUAUUCUCCCAUAAAACUUACCUUAUUCAGCACUUACUUUAGUAGACAAUCAGUAACUACAUUUUCUCACACAAAUUUGAUAAAUGUAGUGUGUGUGUAUGUGUGUGUGAGUGUGUUUAACUGGGAAAGUUAGUACAUCACAAUAACAAUAACAAUAAAACACUGUGUGAAGGUAUACAUAUUUAUGGUACAUUUCAAAAAACCAUUUUGUUCCUUCCUUUGAGGAAACAGAAAAUUCUAAGAAAAUCAGUUAAAUAUAGUAUACUUGCUACGCUAAUUGUCUUACAUAAAAAGAGAUGUAUUAAGAUGUUAUACAUGUGGUAUGCCAUCUGUUUCUGUUUUUGUUGUAUUCAUCACAUGCAUCUGUCCUAAUUCAGCUAUAAGGAAAUACUUAAAUAUAAUUUACACAUCAAAGCUAUUGCAAAAAAUCAAUUUUAUGCAUGUGAAACCCUCCUUUUUCUGAAAUGUGUCCUAAGUUCAAAGAUCAACACAGUUUCAAAUUAAGCCUCGCUCUUCAAAAUGAAAUUUUUCAAAAAUUUGGCUGGAUAAUAGGGAUCUGAAUCACUCAAAUGUGUAAAAGUUGUUUCAAAAGUUAUAGAGGCCAUCAUUUGUAUGGUUCAUCUAUUUCAGAGAACUAUGAAAACUGAUCUUAGAAAGUUGAACUAAAAAAUUUUGUUGUAUUUCACUAUGUUCAUGUCAUCUAAACUAUAAAUGUUUUAAAAUAAAAUAUAUACAGCUAUAGAAAAAGAUUAUUUUAUAACAUAUGCUUAGUGAUGA